UAACGCGUGGAUAACCUGCCUCACACAGGGGGAUAACAGUUAGAAAUGACUGCUAAUACCGCAUAAGCGCACGGCAUCGCACGAUGCAGUGUGAAAAACUCCGGUGGUGUGAGAUGGAUCCGCGUCUGAUUAGGUAGUUGGUGGGGUAACGGCCCACCAAGCCGACGAUCAGUAGCCGACCUGAGAGGGUGACCGGCCACAUUGGGACUGAGACACGGCCCAA
rnacentral:rRNA from 1 species